rnacentral:rRNA from 1 species
CCUACGGGAGGCAGCAGUGGGGAAUAUUGGACAAUGGGCGCAAGCCUGAUCCAGCCAUGCCGCGUGAGUGAUGAAGGCCCUAGGGUUGUAAAGCUCUUUUAACGGGGAAGAUAAUGACGGUACCCGUAGAAUAAGCCCCGGCUAACUUCGUGCCAGCAGCCGCGGUAAUACGAAGGGGGCUAGCGUUGCUCGGAAUCACUGGGCGUAAAGGGUGCGUAGGUGGAUUUUUAAGUCAGGGGUGAAAUCCUGGAGCUCAACUCCAGAACUGCCUUUGAUACUGGGAAUCUUGAGUUCGGGAGAGGUGAGUGGAACUGCGAGUGUAGAGGUGAAAUUCGUAGAUAUUCGCAAGAACACCAGUGGCGAAGGCGGCUCACUGGCCCGAUACUGACACUGAGGCACGAAAGCGUGGGGAGCAAACAGGAUUAGAUACCCUUGUAGUC